GACGAACGCUGGCGGCGUGCCUAAUACAUGCAAGUCGAGCGCUAAAGCAUUGUGCUUGUGCCCACUGGGUGAGCGGCGGACGGGUGAGUAACGCGUGGAGAGUCUGCUUUUUUUUGGGGGAGAACAUUUGGGAGCGAAUGCUAAUACCGCAUAAAAACUUUAACCACAGGAAUUAAGUUUGAAUGGUGCCUUUGCAUCACUCAAGAAUGGUUCCGCGUUGUAUUAGCUAGUUGGUGAGGUAAAGGCCCACCAAGGCGAUGAUACAUAGCCGACCUGAGAGGGUGAUCGGCCACAGUGGGACUGAGACACGGCCCAAACGCCUACGGGAGGCAGCAGUAGGGAAUCUUCGGCAAUGGACGAAAGUCUGACCGAGCAACGCCGCGUGAGUGAAGAAGGUUUUCGGAUCGUAAAACUCUGUUGGUAGAGAAGAACGUUGGUGAGAGUGGAAAGCUCAUCAAGUGACGGUAACUACCCAGAAAGGGACGGCUAACUACGUG
rnacentral:rRNA from 1 species